rnacentral:rRNA from 1 species
GACGAACGCUGGCGGCAUGCUUAACACAUGCAAGUCGAACGGAAAGGCCCGGCUUUUGUGGCGUGCUCGAGUGGCGCGCGGGUGAGUCAGCCGUGAGUAGCCUGACCUUAACUGUGGGCUAUCGUCAGGACACUGUGGCUAAUACCGCAUAGGGGCUCCUGCUGCCUGGGGGGGGUUGGAGAGUUUCGGCGUAGGGGGAUGGACGCGCGGCUUCUCAGCCUGUUGGUGGGGGAGGGUCUGACCAGGGCUUUGACGGCUAGCCGGCCGGGGCGGGUGACCGGCCACAUUGGUACUGAGGUACGGCCCAGACGCCUACGGGGGGCAGCAGUGGGGAAUAUUGCACAAUGGGCGGCGGCCUGAUGCAGGAACGCCGCGGGCGGGAUGACGGCCGUCGGGUGGUAAACCGCUUUCGCCUGUGGCGAAGCGUGAGUGACGGUAAUGGGUAAAGAAGCACCGGCUAACUACGUG